rnacentral:rRNA from 1 species
UGUCCAGACUCCUACGGGAGGCAGCAGUGGGGAAUAUUGCACAAUGGGGGGAACCCUGAUGCAGCGACGCCGCGUGGGUGAAGGAGCACCUCGGUGCGUAAAGCCCUAUCGGCAGGGAAGAAACAGACGGUACCUGACUAAGAAGCCCCGACUAACUACGUGCCAGCAGCCGCGGUAAUACGUAGGGGGCAAGCGUUAUCCGGAUUCACUGGGUGUAAAGGGAGCGUAGACGGCGACGCAAGUCUGGAGUGAAAGCCCACGGCCCAACCGUGGGACUGCUCUGGAAACUGUGCGGCUUGAGUGCGGGAGGGGCAGGCGGAAUUCCUAGUGUAGCGGUGAAAUGCGUAGAUAUUAGGAGGAACACCGGCGGCGAAGGCGGCCUGCUGGACCGUAACUGACGUUGAGGCUCGAAAGCGUGGGGAGCAAACAGGAUUAGAUACCCUAGUAU